rnacentral:lncRNA from 1 species
GGGAGAGACCAUGAAUGGCGGCCCCCAGAAGAGAUGUAAGGUUGAGCACAGGAGCAGGGGUGGUAGAGAGGCCUCAGCACUGGGCUUAGUUCCCAGACUACUUAGAGGACUGUGGGUAAUAAGAAAAGUACUGGAGGAAUCAGAAUGGGGGAAUAUCAGCAUGAGGAGAGAGAGAGUAAGAUGUGGCCAGGCAGUAUCAUCUGCUAGUUUGAGGGUCUCUCUGGGGCCUGUGAAAGGUGACUGUGUACUUGAGGUGAUGCUCCACCUUCUCUCCUCAGCCCAGCACUCUGGUGAAACUGCAUCCUCUCAGAGGCCACUCACAGCCCCCUCAACAAAGACCACUGGCCCUUCCCAAGCCCAGUCCUCCUUGACCUGUAUGGAAAAUGUUAUGCCAUUUUCUCAGUCUUUUCCUUUGGCCUUCUGUUCUUCUGUUACAUCCAUGAUCAUCUGUUCUUGGUUCCAUUCAUUCAGUCCUCCGGAUGGACCAGUUCCUUAACUAGAAGUGGUCCCCAGGUUCUGCUGGUAGCUUGUUUUCUCUUCCUUCUCACUCUUCUCACUCCACUUUUAUCACUUUAACCAUCACCUGAAGUUAUAAAUUCUCCUGUGUUUCAUUUUUCUUUUCUUUUCUCUUCUCUUUCUUUCUCUCUCUCUCUCUUUCUUCUUUCUUUUUUUUUUUUUUUUUUUUUUGAGAGUCUUGCUCUCUCACCCAGGCUGGAGUUGCAGUGAGCUGAAAUCAGGCCAAUGCCCUCCAGUCUGGGCAGCAGAGCAAGACUCUGUCUCAAAAAAAAAAAAAAGAAAGAAAGAAAAAGAAAAAAGAAAGGUUCAGUGGUCAGGGCUGUGUGACACAGGGGGCUACAGCAAAGCAGCAAAGAAGGGGCACAGUCCUGGAACCCUCCUGAGGGAGGGAGUUGGGGGUGAGGUAGUAGCCAGGGCCAAGGCUCCGAGGGAAUUCUUCCUCAAGAAAGCGGAUGAGAGGCUGGAGAGGCAGUUGGGAAGAUGGUGAGGCUGCUGCUGGCUGCUGGGCGGAAUGUAAGUGGGGGUGCCCACCACCGCCCAUCCCCCAGGCCCGGCUUGUGCACAAAGACUUCUCUGUGAGUGGCCAUGGAAGUGGCCCUGUCAGGUGAGGGGGCUUAGCUCCCAGGGAGUGGGGUGGAAUGGGGCUGGAGGAAGGGAGGGCUGAGAGGUGGCCUCAGGCUUUAACCAGGUCUGGGCAGGAAGGAGAGAGAAGCUGAAACCAGGCCGGGGUCUCACAGUGAGGCCGUUCAUGGUCUGGUCCAGCUGUCCCCAGGAUGGGCUCCUCUCCAUCAUCCAACCAGAGACCCAGGGCCCCAGCACCAAGGCCCUCACCUGCCCCUGCCUUCUCCCCAUGUCUUCCCAGCUAUAACUCCUGAUCCUGCCAGGCCUCUCCAGCCUUCCAUCCCCUGCUCAUACAUGCUGUCUCCUGACACUCUUGGAACUGACCCUGCUCUUGGGACUGACCCUGCUUGAGCUUCUCUCAUCUUCCCAGCAUGGGGUCUCCUUCCAUCUCCUGCACAGUGCUCCUGCUCCAGGGAGGGCUGUGUUGAGAGGGUAGAGACACAAGAUUGACCAGAACUAAAAAGGAGUCCCAAGGCCACCCCAGUCUCCACACCCACUCUUGCCUUCCCCAGGAGAGGCUCCUCUCCUGGCCUGGCCUCAGUGUCACUUACUGCUAAUCAUCGAUGUGUAGAGACCUUUCUCCCAUCUCCCCACCACCAAGCCCUUGUUGAGCACACUGCACACUGGCUUUUUAUUUUUAUUUUCUGGGUGACAGAGUGAGAUUCCAUCUCAAAAAAAAGAAGUAUUUUUCUUUACGCUUGACAAUUUUUCUUUUCAGACCAAAAAGAAGAAUGUACUUCAUCUGGUUGGGCUGGAUUCCCUCUGAUAAGCCUUCCCAGUUGACUGAAAGAUGAGGCUAGGCUCUAGCAAGUUGAAGUCAAACCAGCUCCUUCAAGAAGCUUUGAGCAGAAUGAAGUGGGGAGGACCCAGCUUCCAGCCCAGGAAGCCCACUGUACCUGGAGCCAUCUGGGAUAAGACUUUGACCCAUGACUCCCAUAUCCACAGCCUGUCCAUCCUAGCCCAUCCCAGUUUAUCCUGUAUCAUUUGAGCUGGGAUUCCCACAUCCUCUGAGUUGGAAGUCCCAUCUCAAGUCUUCAAUAAAGACUCUUGAAUAUUGAAUCA